AUUGAACGCUGGCGGCAUGCCUUACACAUGCAAGUCGAACGGCAGCACGGGACUCGGGCAACUGAGCCCUGGUGGCGAGUGGCGAACGGGUGAGUAAUGCAUCGGAACGUGCCCAGUAGUGGGGGAUAACUAGUCGAAAGAUUAGCUAAUACCGCAUACGACCUAUGGGUGAAAGCGGGGGAUUUUCGGGCAACCGAGAACCUCGCGCUAUCGGAGCGGCCGAUGCUGAUUAGCUAGUUGGCGGGGUAAAAGCCCACCAAGGCUUCGAUCAGUAGCUGGUCUGAGAGGACGACCAGCCACACUGGGACUGAGACACGGCCCAGACUCCUACGGGAGGCAGCAGUGGGG
rnacentral:rRNA from 1 species